rnacentral:rRNA from 1 species
CCUACGGGGGGCAGCAGUGGGGAAUAUUGCACAAUGGGGGAAACCCUGAUGCAGCGACGCCGCGUGAGUGAAGAAGUAAUUCGUUAUGUAAAGCUCUAUCAGCAGGGAAGAAAAUGACGGUACCUGAGUAAGAAGCCCCGGGUAACUACGUGCCAGCAGCCGCGGUAAUACGUAGGGGGCAAGCGUUAUCCGGAUUUACUGGGUGUAAAGGGAGCGUAGACGGCAGUGCAAGUCUGGAGUGAAAGGGGGGGGCUCAACCCCCGGACUGCACUGGAAACUGUACGGCUGGAGUGCAGGGGAGGUAAGUGGAAUUCCUAGUGUAGCGGUGAAAUGCGUAGAUAUUAGGAGGAACACCAGUGGCGAAGGCGGCUUACUGGACUGUAACUGACGUUGAGGCUCGAAAGCGUGGGGAGCAAACAGGAUUAGAUACCCUUGUAGUC